UCGCGUCGUGGUAUUUCGCGUAUUGUAAUUUCAACACGAGCGGGGUCAAAUCCUUUGCAGACGACUUAGCUGUGCGAAACGGUCCUGUAAGCAGUAGAGUAGCCUUGUUGUUACGAUCUGCUGAGGGUAAGCCGUCCUUCGCCUCGAUUU
rnacentral:rRNA from 1 species